rnacentral:lncRNA from 1 species
AUGUCUCUCUUCCUAGGACAACUGCAUGUUUUGACCAUUUCUGAGAGAGAAAACAGAGGUGGGAACCUCAGUAUGAACUUUGGUCCAACUUCAGAAGGAACAGUACAGAAGGGCUGCAGAGAACCCAUCCUUGCAGAUCUUCAAAACUUUGUUGAAAAGGGUCCAGAAGAAACAGAUCUCACUUUGAACAAGGUUAGAGUAGAUAACCUCCAAAAGUCACCCUCUGACUCAGCGAUUAGAGUAUGGUUUCAGGGCAGAACCUACUUGGGCUCUCCCAUGUUUUCCCAACUCUCCCCCACCCCCAGAAAAAAAAAAAAAGAAAAAAAAAAAAAAAAAAAAAGAAAGUUUGAAAGNNNNNNNNNNNNNNNNNNNNNCACCCCCCCCCCAAAAAAAAAAAAAAAAAAAAAAAAAAAAAAAGAAAAAGGUAAGUUUGCUAGCUUGCUAAUCAUCUUCCCUACAGAAAAAGUGGAAGCCAGGGCUUUAUUGGAAGGCAGACAUCUCGAAAAAAUGAAAAAAAAAAAAGAAAAAAAAAGCCCACAGUAGAGAAAGAGAGCAGGUUGCACCCAACAGAAUAGAUGGAAUCACGCAGGUGGUCCCAUUUAUAAAUAUUUUUGUGUGUGAGAGAAAGAUCUGGAUAUUUAGAUAAGCCUCCAUUAUAAUUUACAGGCACAGUGAAGUAGCCAAGUCAUCUACUGGCACAUAGGAUAUACAACCUGUAGAUGAUCUCAACCCACCUGGAGUAUCAGGCAGGCAGGAUUCUUGAGGGCAUGAAGAUGGUACCAGAUAGCAUUUGAAGAACAACUGAGCCUUACCUUCAAAACUCUGACUGUCUCAAAAAGCUGAAUUCUUAUGAAUGGUUUAACAUACCUUUGGCUUGCUCCACAUGGCUGUUUCAUUCUCCAGCAUAUUUUUCUUCCUAACAAUAUAUCAACUUUAGGCUCUCUGGCUAUUCCUGCCUGUCUAGUCAAUACAUGUAAUGAAAGAAUGGGCAAAGCAGGUCAAAGCAAGCAAAAGCAAAGCAGAAGUCCUCAGAUGCUUCACUGGAACUAAUGCAUGCUUGCAUCCAGUGUAAGAAGAAAAGCAUACAAAAGCUAAUGUGGGUGAGAGCAGGUGACGGGAAAAGUUGUCAUGUUCCUGCAGGGUUUUAAGUCCUCACAAUGACCUUGACUUCCAGCACUCUCCUGUCCAGUCCUUAGUGAUUUUUAAUUCACUGCACAGUUAUAUGCAUCUGUAAAUAGAUCAAAAUGAAAUUCGUCUUAGAGAUAAAAUCCAUUUUUGGCCAUGCAUUUUUUUUCCAUUUAGUUUUUGUUUGUGUCCUGGUUUCAGUUAGGACAGAGUUAAUUUUCCUCCUAGUAGCUGGUAGGGUGCUAUGUUUUGAAUUAGGAUGAGAAGAGCGCUGAUAACGUGCUGAUGUUUUAAUUGUUGCAGAGCAGUGUUUACACCAGGCCAAGGACUUUUCGGCUUCU